rnacentral:lncRNA from 1 species
CAAGAGCAUCCUCGACUACACAAUGAGAAGAGAAAACUGACUUCCACUGCCCUCCACAUGUGGGCCAUAGGACAAGCAUCCAUGCAAGCAGGUGCACACACACACACACACACACACACACACACACACACACACACACACCAAGUAUCCAUGCAAGUAGGUGUACACACACACACCAAGCAUCCAUGCAAGCAGGUACACACACACACACACACACACACACACACACACACACCAAGUAUCCAUGCAAGCAGGUGCACACACACACACACACACACACACACACACACCAAGUAUCCAUGCAAGCAGGUGCACACACACACACACACACACACACACACACACCAAGUAUCCAUGCAAGCAGGUGCACACACACACACACACACACACACACACACACACACACACACACACACGACAAGUAUCCAUGCAAGCAGGUGCACACACACACAAAACAAGUAUCCAUGCAAGCAGGUGCACACCCACCCACCCACACCAAGUAUCCAUGCAACCAGAUGCAUACACACACACACACACACACGACAAGCAUCCAUGCAAGCAGGUGCACACACAUACACACAAACACACACACCCCAAGUAUCCAUGCAAGCAGGUGCACACAUGCACAGGAC